UCUUUGGAUGAGGAAGGGUUUUUCAUAUGAUCUUUUCUUCUUUCCUCUCUUCCUCUUUUUCUCACUCCUCUUCUCCCUCAACUUUCUCUUUUUUUCUUUUCUUGCUUUCUUCUUUAUUUUCACACAGUUUCUCUUUUUUCCUUUUCUACUUUCUUCUUUAUUUUCACACAUUUUCUCUUUUUUUCUUUUCUCUCAAGCACUUCUUUUUCUUUCCCAUCCUCUUCUUCUUCCUCACUUAACCUUUUUAUUUCUAUCUCCUCUAUUUGUUUCUCAUCUCUCUAUCUCUAUCUUUUCCUCAUCAACAACCUUAUCAAUCUCAAAGAUAGUGGCUUGACACUCCUCCUUAAGGUUAACUUCAGUACUAACCCUAGAAUCAUCCAGGGAUGCAGUCACGCACCCCAAUUCUAUUUCCUUCCUUUUACAUCUUGCGUCCUUACAUUCUGAAUAGGAGAUGGUAUUCUACAUCACUCAUUGGAAUGUCUCUUCACGACUUUCUAAUGGAGAUGGUCGCUACCAAUGUUUUUUAAUUUCCUUCUCUAUUUCUUCAAGUGAAGGAGAACAUUGUUGCCUAUGACGUUGUCGUAUCUCCUCCAAACUUUUGAUGUAAGAUACAUUCAUACCCAUGAUCCACUGAAGAAGUUUGUCAGAAUUUGUGUUUUCAUUGCGUGGAGUAAUUUGUUGCUCGACAGCUUGCCCAAAUUGGCUUUGAUCCAUGUUUGAGUGAGGUUCCGACCAGUUGUUGAAAUCAUCUUGGUAGAAUUGAGUGCUCAUAUAUUCAAAUUCUUGUCCAAAUUGCAUCCUGC
rnacentral:lncRNA from 1 species